GUUGUGAUGGAGGAGGCGCUGGGCUGGCCGGCUCCUCCUCUUUCCGAAAGUCGGCCUCCGUCAGUUCGUCCAUCAUGCUCAUCUCCGCCUCUCGGAUUUCACCAAAACUCCUGGACGGAUUUACUCAGAACUUGGUGGAAGGAGGAGACGUAGGCCGAGAAAGGAAUUCCAUCAAUUUUGACAUGGAUCCAGAUCGGGGGGGCAGAUGCAGGAUUGUUUUUUUCCCACCCAUUUUACAUAAAAAGAUUUACGAGCAUUUCACAAAUCUCCCAUGGCAUGAUUUAUAGAUCAGGGAUAUAUUUAGAAAACUGAUAUCUAUGAGGGUGUGGAAUCUGUUGGGCCUUGGUUGAGUUGUGUGCGCUACUGAGUGAAUUGUGUCUUCGUAAUAGCAUCAAAAUAUAAUGUUACACUGUGAAAAACAUCCUGUUAUAACAAUAAACUUUCUUUCUUUCUC